rnacentral:rRNA from 1 species
GACGGAGGGCGCUAGCGUUGUUCGGAAUUACUGGGCGUAAAGGGCGCGUAGGCGGCCUGGUCAGUCGGAUGUGAAAGCCCGGGGCUCAACCCCGGAACGGCAUCCGAGACGGCCAGGCUGGAGACCGGGAGAGGAGAGUGGAAUAGCCAGUGUAGAGGUGAAAUUCGUAGAUAUUGGCUGGAACACCGGUGGCGAAAGCGGCUCUCUGGCCCGGUUCUGACGCUGAGGCGCGAAAGCGUGGGGAGCAAACAGG